GGGUUGUUUAACUCACUGCCCAACUCUCGUGGUUGUGGCUUGUCGGAUGACAUUGAGAUACUUGCGAUCAGGCAACUGAUUGUAGGUGACUCGAUCUCGUUCUAGUACCCGAAGCAUCACAAGUCGAGACCCGACGGUUCCUAACUGUCGACUCGUAAUGUGACGCGCUACUCUUUAUCAGAGAGAGCUGCCAAAUGGCGUCCAACUUGACUUCUAUGGUGUCCGAGUGAACAUCAAGACGUGUAUCAUAACGUGUCUCGAUAAGAUCUAGGGCAUUCGUCUAACCGGCUCGUCGCUCUGUGCUGAAUAAUGAGGUUCGUUUGUCGAAGGAUCUUCGGAUUCUAAAACAAAACGUUGCGUGUCUUGCUAUUAUCAACCUGAACUCAGUCGUGAUUACCCGCUGAACUUAAGCAUAUCAUUUAGCGGAGGAAAAGAAACUAAAAAGGAUUCCCUUAGUAACGGCGAGUGAAACGGGAUGAGCCCAGCGCCGAAUCGAUCAGCCUAUGGUUGCUUCGAAAUGUGGCGUAUAGGUGUAGUCUUCCAGCAGUGUCGUGAGUCCGAAGUCCUUACGAUUGAGGCCAUAGACCAGAGAGGGUGCGAGUCCCGUCCUGGAUUGCGAUGCUGUUGGUUCGAUUGCUCCUUGGAGUCGGGUUGCUUGAAAGUGCAGCCUAAAGUGGGUGAUAAACUUCAUCUAAGGCUAAAUAUUGACUCGAUUGCGAUAGCGAACAAGUACCGUGAGGGAAAGUUGCAAAGGACUUUGAAGAGAGAGUUCAAGAGAACGUGAAAUCGCUGGAGUGGAACCGGAGACAGUUGAUGUUGCUUGGAGACAAGUUUGGUGGCUGGUCGCUUAGUUGUGAUCGUCGCCGGAUGUCGUUUCCUAUGCUACGCCGACGGCGUUGGUCGCUCGUUCUGGCCCGACAGUGUUGCCCAGCUCGCAAGAGUCGGUGUCUUGUUGUCGGUCGUUGGUUCGUGGUGGCUAGCGUUUAGUUACGCUAGUGUGUGUGACGUCGGUGUGAAAGUCGACGACGUUUCCGACCCGUCUUGAAACACGGAUUGCGGAGUGCUUGUCUACUGCGAGUCAAAGGGUGUUAAAACCUUGCGGCGAAAUGAAAGUGAAGGUCAGUCUUGAAUUGGCCGACGUGGGAUCGGUGCUCCUCGGAGUGCUGCGCACCACGGCCCUGUGCGUGUCACUUGUGACUGUGCAGAGGUUGAGCAGUUGGCAAACGACCCGAAAGAUGGUGAACUAUGCCUGAGCAGGAUGAAGCCAGAGGAAACUCUGGUGGAAGUCCGUAUCGGUUCUGACGUGCAAAUCGAUCGAUAGACUUGGGUAUAGGGGCGAAAGACUAAUCGAACCAUCUAGUAGCUGGUUCCUUCCGAAGUUUCCCUCAGGAUAGCUGGAUCUCCGGCAGUUAUAUUCGGUAAAGCUAAUGAUUAGAGGCCUUGGGGACGUAAUGUCCUCAACCUAUUCUCAAACUUUCAAUGGAUAUGAAGUUGCAGUUUCUUUAGUGAACUGUCAACGUGAAUGCGAGGUCCAAGUGGGCCAUUUUUGGUAAGCAGAACUGGCGCUGUGGGAUGAACCAAACGUGGAGUUAAGGUGCCUAACUUCUCGCUCAUGAGACCCCAUAAAAGGUGUUGGUUGAUAUUGACAGCAGGACGGUGGCCAUGGAAGUCGGUAUCCGCUAAGGAGUGUGUAACAACUCACCUGCCGAAUCAACUAGCCCUGAAAAUGGAUGGCGCUUAAGCGAGAGACCUAUACUCCGCCGUUGCGGCAUGUGCGUUGUCUAGCGCCAGGCCGUAACGAGUAGGAAGGUCGUGGCGGUUGCUUUGAAGGCUAUGAGCGUGGGCUCGGCUGGAGCUUCCGUCAGUGCAGAUCGUAAUGGUAGUAGCAAAUAUUCAAGUUCGAUCCUUGAAGACUGAAGUGGAGAAGGGUUCCACGUGAACAGUAGUUGGAUGUGGGUCAGUCGAUCCUAAGGUACUGGCGAACGCCUUGUAUCAUCGGUGGCGAAAAGCUUGCUUUUGGUCCCCGUUUGUCGAAAGGGAAUAGGGUUAAUAUUCCCUAACUGAGAUGCAAAGAUUGUGUUCUUCGGAGCACAAGCGCGGUAACGCAUUCGAACUUGGUUAGUCGCUCAAAGACCGAGCUAGAGUUUUCUUCUCUAGUUAAGGAACGGACUCCCUGGAAUUGGUUCAGCCAGAGAUGGGGACGUUGUUUCCGAAAAGCACCGCGGUUUCUGUGGUGUCUCGUGCUCUUUGAACGGCCCUUAAAACACCAAGGGAGGCUAUUAAUUUGCACUCAAUCGUACCGAUAU
rnacentral:rRNA from 1 species